CCAAAGGCUCUUUUAAGAGCCACCCAACAAAAUCGUAAGAGAGCUC
rfam:Nestor notabilis contig37215, whole genome shotgun sequence.